rnacentral:rRNA from 1 species
UACGUAGGGUGCGAGCGUUGUCCGGAAUUACUGGGCGUAAAGAGCUCGUAGGCGGUCUGUCGCGUCUGCUGUGAAAACUCAGGCUUAACCCUGAGCUUGCAGUGGGUACGGGCAGACUAGAGUGGCGGUAGGGGAGACUGGAAUUCCUGGUGUAGCGGUGAAAUGCGCAGAUAUCUGGAGGAAUACCGGUGGCGAAAGGCGGCAUCCUGGA